UAAAUCUGUCAUACUUAGGUACAGACUGACGUGGGUGUGGACACUAAGCAUCAAACACUACAAGGAGUAGCAUUUCCCAUUUCUCGAGAAGCCUUUCAGGCUUUGGAAAAAUUGAAUAACAGACAGCUCAACUAUGUGCAGUUGGAAAUAGAUAUAAAAAAUGAAAUUAUAAUUUUGGCCAACACAACAGAUACAGAACUGAAAGAUUUGCCAAAGAGGAUUCCCAAGGAUUCAGCUCGUUACCAUUUCUUUCUGUAUAAACAUUCCCAUGAAGGAGACUAUUUAGAGUCCAUAGUUUUUAUUUAUUCAAUGCCUGGAUACACAUGCAGUAUAAGAGAGCGGAUGCUGUAUUCUAGCUGCAAGAGCCCUCUGCUAGAAAUUGUAGAAAGACAACUACAAAUGGAUGUAAUUAGAAAGAUCGAGAUAGACAAUGGGGAUGAGUUGACUGCAGACUUCCUUUAUGAAGAAGUACAUCCCAAGCAGCAUGCACACAAGCAAAGUUUUGCAAAACCAAAAGGUCCUGCAGGAAAAAGAGGAAUUCGAAGACUAAUUAGGGGCCCAGCGGAAACUGAAGCUACUACUGAUUAAAGUCAUCACAUUAAACAUUGCAAUACUAG
rnacentral:sRNA from 1 species